rnacentral:rRNA from 1 species
AACGAACGCUGGCGGCAUGCCUAACACAUGCAAGUCGAACGAGACCUUCGGGUCUAGUGGCGCACGGGUGCGUAACGCGUGGGAACCUGCCCUUAGGUUCGGAAUAACUCCCCGAAAGGGGUGCUAAUACCGGAUAAUGUCUUCGGACCAAAGAUUUAUCGCCUUUGGAUGGGCCCGCGUUGGAUUAGCUAGUUGGUAGGGUAAAAGCCUACCAAGGCGACGAUCCAUAGCUGGUCUGAGAGGAUGAUCAGCCACACUGGGACUGAGACACGGCCCAGACUCCUACGGGAGGCAGCAGUGGGGAAUAUUGGACAAUGGGCGAAAGCCUGAACCAGCAAUGCCGCGUGAGUGAUGAAGGCCUUAGGGUUGUAAAGCUCUUUUACCCGGGAUGAUAAUGACAGUACCGAGAGAAUAAGCUCCGGCUAACUCCGUG